rnacentral:rRNA from 1 species
UACGUAGGGUGCGAGCGUUAAUCGGAAUUACUGGGCGUAAAGCGUGCGCAGGCGGUUGUGCAAGACAGAUGUGAAAUCCCCGGGCUUAACCUGGGAACUGCAUUUGUGACUGCACGGCUAGAGUGUGUCAGAGGGGGGUAGAAUUCCACGUGUAGCAGUGAAAUGCGUAGAUAUGUGGAGGAACACCGAUGGCGAAGGCAGCCCCCUGGGAUAACACUGACGCUCAUGCACGAAAGCGUGGGGAGCAAACAGG